CCUACGGGAGGCUGCAGUGGGGAAUAUUGGACAAUGGGGGGAACCCUGAUCCAGCCAUGCCGCGUGUGUGAAGAAGGCCCUCGGGUUGUAAAGCACUUUCAGUGAGGAAGAACGCCUGGUGGUUAAUACCCAUCAGGAAAGACAUCACUCACAGAAGAAGCACCGGCUAACUCCGUGCCAGCAGCCGCGGUAAUACGGAGGGUGCGAGCGUUAAUCGGAAUUACUGGGCGUAAAGCGCGCGUAGGUGGCUUGAUAAGCCGGUUGUGAAAGCCCCGGGCUCAACCUGGGAACGGCAUCCGGAACUGUCAAGCUAGAGUGCAGGAGAGGAAGGUAGAAUUCCCGGUGUAGCGGUGAAAUGCGUAGAGAUCGGGAGGAAUACCAGUGGCGAAGGAGGCCUUCUGGACUGACACUGACACUGAGGUGCGAAAGCGUGGGUAGCAAACAGGAUUAGAUACCCCAGUAGUC
rnacentral:rRNA from 1 species